CAAGUGUAUGAUAUACCCUGAUACAAUUCCCAGGAUGCAAUCCUGCUUUUCUAGGACAUCUAUAGAUUUGGACAUGAAAGAAUGUCGAGUCAUAAUCGACAGGAGUGCAAAGGAUUAAUAUUAGCAAGAUCGCUAAUGACACAAAUGAAAUUGUACAAGUAAACUUGUGAGUUCCCUAACAUUAUUAAUCGGCAAAUUAUUAUACAAGUAGUUGCAGAUGAAUUAUUUCAUCUUUAAGAAAAGGAUCAUCGAUAUCCCAGACGAGGCAACCAACAUCUGCCAGCGUUCUCAUCCCCUAAAAGGUAUACCAACUACUUACCAAAAAAUCAUCUUCCUCGACAUGGUCUAGUUUCGAAUCUGUUUCGCGGAUCUCGCAAGGAAGGAGCGUCUCUAGUUUCUCUCGUUCUCCGGUUAGACAAGGAAUUGGAAAAAGUGGUGGACACGGGCCAGGAUCCGUAUCUUCUUCGGUUCUGGCCUUCUCCCCUUUUGUCGCGGGUCUUUGUGAGAGGUUGUCCGGCCGUCGUUACGUCACGCCGCCACGACGUUCCUCUAACAAGGUAACGAUGAUUUCCACCUCGUCCGCGACUGAUUUUCGUCGGAAUCGUUGGGGUCUCGAACGUUGGAUUAGCAAUCCAGAAGCCGGUCGUUCAGAGAGAGGAGAGACAGUGGAGAUACGAGGCGAUGCGAGAGCGCACCUGAGCGUACCAACGAGCCCGUCCAGAUCCUAACGAGUGCGACAAGGACGGUAUUAGGCGAGCCGGUAAUAAGCCGAGCCAAUGGGAGAGUCAGAGAGGGUUGCAUGUCCCCUGGGACGAGUUGAAAGAGGACAUGGCGAACCCACCUAAAGUAGAUUCGUGCCGAGCGGCGUGCCGGUGUAUAAUGAUGCGGUGGCGCGCGCGCGAGUGAGCGAGCGAACUGCGAACCAAAGAGUCAGAGGACGAUGGAAAGAAGCAAGAGAGCGAAAGAGGAACGACGGGAAACGAAACUCUGGGACGAGUACCGAGGCUUGGCUGAGGAGCGACGCAGCGAGGAUGCGUGUCGUUCCUUCGUUCCUCUUCGUCUGAGGUUUACUCGCGAGCGACCGAGACGAGCGAGAACGACGGAACAGCCAGAGCGAGGAGGCUAACAAUGAAGGGCAGAGGAGAGAAAACAAGAAAAAAACGCGACGAGGAAGAAAGAAGAAGAAGAAGAAGAAGAAGAAGACGAAGAAGACGAGCAGAGGGGGAAGCUUCGAGUGUCGGCACCUCGCCGCUAGAGCGGACCACACACGUCGAUGAGUGGCUCUCAACUCGUGGAUCUCUUGCAGAUUUAAACUGGCCGAAAUGCUUGUAAUGUCACGCCUGAAUCUUUGUCGUCGACCACUUUCUUGCGAAGGGUGCUUUUAGGCUCGUCUAGCUUUGUUAUCGAGGAAAGAGGUCUUUUAAGAUUUGACUUAAAUGGAUUUAUGGGUUUGGCCGAGGGGAAGGAUCUUAAUUGUUCCUUUAUACAGGCUUUUGUUUAGUUGUGCCGUUUCUUUAGAUUCCGCAGAUUCGUUUGUGUCUUUAUCUUUGCUCUCUGUUGUCGUUUCACCGAAGCAACAAGGAUCGAAUAGAACUUUUUCGAGUACGUUACAAUUAUCUUUUUAUUAGAUCGGUCAUUAAAUUUCUUGACAAAACAUAAACAUUUGUUUGCUAAUUCAUGCAAAGUUUGGCAAAAUACUAGCUUCGAAAACGCAUGAAACGUUCGGA
rnacentral:misc_RNA from 1 species